rnacentral:hammerhead_ribozyme from 1 species
AGAUAGCUGACGAGUCCGAAAUAGGACGAAAUGCGCAUCUUGGAU